AAGUCGUAACAAGGUUUCCGUAGGUGAACCUGCGGAAGGAUCAUUAACACUUUACAAUCUAAAAACAACAAAACAACUGAGCCACUUUAUUUCUCCCUUAUCUGUCGCUGGGGACAGCACGAUAAGGCUAACCUUUUUUUAUUUUUCUAACCCCAUUUUAUAAUAAAAAUUUCCCUUUUUUGGGUUUUUUUUAUUUAUAUUCUACCUAUUCGUUUAUAAAAGUCGUCGAAAGGCGAAAAAUAAAACAAACGAACUAACUAAAAUAUUUUUGUGUAAAAACCAAAAUAUAUUUUAAUUUACGAAACAAUAUAUUCUUUAUAUAAGAACAACUCUUAGCAAUGGAUAUCUUGGUUCUC
rnacentral:misc_RNA from 1 species